UACGGAGGAUCCGAGCGUUAUCCGGAUUUAUUGGGUUUAAAGGGUGCGUAGGCGGCCCUGUAAGUCAGCGGUGAAAUUUUGCAGCUUAACUGUAAAAGUGCCGUUGAUACUGAUAGUCUUGAGUUUGGUUAAGGUAGGCGGAAUGUGUAAUGUAGCGGUGAAAUGCUUAGAUAUUACACAGAACACCAAUUGCGUAGGCAGCUUACUGAGCCGACACUGGCGCUGAGGCACGAAAGCGUGGGGAUCAAACAGGAUUAGAUACCCCGGUAGUCCCU
rnacentral:rRNA from 1 species